rnacentral:rRNA from 1 species
AUUGAACGCUGGCGGCAUGCCUUACACAUGCAAGUCGAACGGUAACGGGCCUUCGGGUGCCGACGAGUGGCGAACGGGUGAGUAAUACAUCGGAACGUGCCCGAUCGUGGGGGAUAACGAGGCGAAAGCUUUGCUAAUACCGCAUACGAUCUACGGAUGAAAGCAGGGGACCGCAAGGCCUUGCGCGGACGGAGCGGCCGAUGGGAGAUUAGGUAGUUGGUGGGAUAAAGGCUUACCAAGCCGACGAUCUGUAGCUGGUCUGAGAGGAUGAUCAGCCACACUGGGACUGAGACACGCCCCAGACUCCUACGGGAGGCAGCAGUGGGGAAUUUUGGACAAUGGGCGCAAGCCUGAUCCAGCCAUGCCGCGUGCAGGAUGAAGGCCUUCGGGUCGUAAACUGCUUUUGUACGGAACGAAAAGCCUUCUUUUAAUACAGGAGGGUCAUGACGGUACCGUAAGAAUAAGCACCGGCUAACUACGUG